rnacentral:rRNA from 1 species
GACGAACGCUGGCGGCGUGCUUAACACAUGCAAGUCGAACGGUAAGGCCCUUCGGGGUACACGAGUGGCGAACGGGUGAGUAACGCGUGGGUGAUCUGCCCUGCACUUCGGGAUAAGCCUGGGAAACUGGGUCUAAUACCGGAUAGGACCCUGGGAUGCAUGUCCUGGGGUGGAAAGCUUUUGCGGUGUGGGAUGGGCCCGCGGCCUAUCAGCUUGUUGGUGGGGUGAUGGCCUACCAAGGCGACGACGGGUAGCCGGCCUGAGAGGGGGACCGGCCACACUGGGACUGAGGUGCGGCCCAGACUCCUACGGGAGGCAGCAGUGGGUAAUAUUGCACAAUGGGCGCAAGCCUGAUGCAGCGACGCCGCGUGAGGGAUGCCGGCCUUCGGGUUGUAAACCUCUUUCAGCACCGACGAAGCGCAAGUGACGGUAGGUGCAGAAGAAGGACCGGCCAACUACGUGCCAGCCGCCGCCGUAA